CAGAAUUUUAUGUUCCUACUAGGGAGUAGAAACUAGUUUUCUAUGCAUCUUAGUAGAAACUAACGCCUUAAUGUCAUUGAAACUUUAAAUACUGAUUACUGAACAAAGUAAGAUAUAUGGUUGAAUCAACUAUUAUGAAUAUUUAUAUUGAACACACAGCAUUUUGCAAAUUAAUUGCCGAAGUUAACUGACGGUCUGAGAUUGAAGAAGUGGAAGCAAUUGCUAUAAUAGGCUUUUGACCUGAGGUCUAUAUACUUGAAAUUGUUCCAUUGGUGGAAGCUGAUGGAAUAUUGUCGAAUUCGAUAUUUGACUGAGAUAUCCAUAAGAAAUAUGCCCCCAUAUGAUUGUUUUUCGAAUUUUAAAAGAUGCAAAUAGAAAAUACUUGGACUGAGGGCGUACAAGGUCAAACUUCAUUCAUGGCGUGGUUUCUUCCCAUAAUUAGGACAUUGCAGAUUUACAAACAGAUAACAAGGAUGAUUACAGAGUAUAGGUCGACCAUCUUGAAUUUUGGUCGAAUCGACAGGAAAAAUGCAAGAAACGAUGAUUCAGAUCCCCUACAGGUGUUAUUUGUAAUAGAAAAUACUUGGACUGAGGGUGUACAAGGUCAAACUUCAUUCAUAUCAUGGUUUCUUCCCAUAAUUAGGACAUUGCAGAUUUACAAACAGAUAACAAGGAUGAUUACAGAUUGUCUACUACGAAGAGGUGAAAUUUCAUUUUGGAUCUGAUGGAAACACAACUCAAUGAUUCAUGAUGUCCUAUCAGCUAAUAGAUAGCUAAGUGAUUAUAAAAAUGGAAAACAACGAAACGAAGUUCUAGGAAAAGAAUGAAUCGAAGUUUAUAAUGGCGAAAAGCUGUAACAAGAAGGAAAUCUAUAGAAAAUAAUUCAAUUGGCACUCUUUGGAUGGUUUCCUCAAGUUUCGUUUCUGAUGUGGACACAUAAACCAGAUAUCUAAGAAUUAGUAACCACAAGGAGGAACAGAAAUGAACAAGCGGAAGGUAGCAACGGACUUCAUGCUGAAUCAUCAAUUACUUAUGAUUAAUACUCAGGUAUUUUUAUUUAUUAAACGGUUUUCCAAGAGGUUUCAUUUUGAGUAGCCCGCUAUGUGGGCAGCUAUCACUUUUGAAGCUGUCAUCUUCUGACAUUUGACAAGUAAAAACUACCUCAUUACUAAAAUGGAACGAUAUACGCAUCAACAAUGCAUUUAAAUUGUUGAAAUUCACUCCAAAAUUUUACUGUCACUGUUAGUAAAACUAAAGUAAUUUUGGGUCGUCGUGAAGCUCCUUAUUGGCCGGCAAUCAAAGUUUCUUCCAAGUACGUGGGUAACAACAGUCGCAUGUGGGUUUUCCCUUUUCCAUAAAUGACUAUUUCGAGUAGCAGGUGGCAGUUGAAGUUGUUUGGUUCAAUCAUUUGAUUCGGUAAAAAUAACUAGCAUUUGAUUCAUUUAUUUAUUAAACAUUGAUUUUAUUAUAAAUUAAUAAUUUCCAUGAGAAUUACUCACUAUAUCCAAUCGGAAGAAGCUCUGAAAUAGGGCAAAGGAAAUUGUCUGCAUGCUGUUAUAUUAUUUCCUUAUUUUAAUACGUUAAAACCCAUUAUUUCCGUACUAAGCUUAAAUUGCGUAUCUAAUUUUUUACUCACAAGAAAACUUCAGAGAUGUAUAGAACUCGGUCUAAUCUGCAGUUUUAAAAUUAACAGGUGCCUACACGAAAUCUUGAACGGCCAUAUUUACGAUCCGAUCCUACAUUGGAAAUUUUGAGUUCCUAAGGUCCCUCCGUUCUAAAGUUAUCGUGUGAACGGACGGACGGACAGAAUCGCAUUUGAGGUCGGAUUAGUCGUCAUAGAGUAUAACCUAAUCGUUUGAAGUCAUUCCUUGACUUAAAAUUAAUAAAUUACAAACAUUGUAACGAAGUGAUAGAGAGAUAGGUUUGCUGAGGAGAGCUCGAACAUUGAACUCAAUGUUUCUAUUUUUGGGAACUAUCUAUAUCAGAUCUUUUUUCGAGAUAUGCUAUAAAUUGAGCAUUCUUCAUUUUCAACUUCUUUAUAUUUCGCGUUAUAUUUAUUUACUAUUACUAGUCGUCAAAAAAAAACAUGGAUUCAAGUAUUUAUCCUUUUAUAUGACUUUGAUAUCAAUCUUCCAUAAUUUUAAUGUCCUCAUGAUAUCUUUUCCACUGUUCUUCACUUAAAUGACCCAAGUUUCCUAGAAAGCGAUUAAGAUGACUGUGGAAGAUGUGAACUUUUAAACUCAUAUGCUACAACCAAAAAUUUUAAAAUUUGUAAUUCCGAAGAAAAUGUAAUAGGUACUACUCGAACAAAAUAAUGGAUCUUUAACAAGUUUGAGGACCAUCAAAUAUACUCCAGAUUUCAGUUUUAUCAUGCUAACUAAUCCCAGUAAAUUUUCCUGUCUAGUAUUAAAAACAAUUUCCAACUCGAUUUAAAGCUUUCACAAAUCGCUUCAACAGCCCCCUGCCUAAUAUGCAAAGGCGGAACUAACAUUUUUGAUCUCCAAACCAAAGCUUCGUUGAUUAUGUUUUUUUCCUUAAAUUAUGAUAUCUCGAAUGCCAAUUUUUGUGGAUGCGGUAUUCAUUUUUAGUUCUGAUGUCCUAAAAGCAUAAAAACCGGGAUUAUUUUAUAUUUUCACAACGAUGUUCAAGAAGGUCGUUUACCAUCUUUAAAAUCAAAACAAUUUUGUCAUUGUUGUUUUUGUAUUUGAUUCUUUUCAAAUCUAGUGCAAUUGUUUCAACUUUCUUCUUAGAUAGUAACGAAUUGAACAAUAUUUGUUACCACUACAUACUGCGGUAUGUAGUUGGCCUGCUAGUGUUAGUUCUUUAGUUCUUAGGAAACGUGCAUAAACGCCCUCAUUGAUUUGUUAGCGUUCAAUUCUUAGUUCUUAGGUUUAGUCUUAUAGCGUAUUCGACU